GAUGAACGCUGGCGGCGUGCCUAAUACAUGCAAGUCGAGCGACCGCACGAGAUGCUUGCUCCCCUCCUGUUAGCGGCGGACGGGUGAGUAACACGUGGAUAACUGCCCUAUAAUACUGGAAUACCUUCCGGAAACCUUACCUAAUACCGGAUAAUAUUUUGAACCGCAUGGUUCAAAAGCUUUAGAAGCUCUUGCUGUCACUUAUAGAUGUUUCCGCGCUUCAUUAUCUAGUUGCUAAUGUAACGGCUUACCAAGGCAACGAUGCAUAGCCGACCUGAGAGGGUGAACGCGCAGACGGGAUGUGAGACACGGUCCAGAGUCCUAAGGGAGGCAGCAGUAGGGAAUCUUACGCAAUGGGGGAAAGCGGGACGGAGCAACGCCGGGUGAGUGAUGAAGGUCUUCGGAUCGUAAAACUAUGUUAUUAGGGAAGAAGAUAUGUGUAAGUAAAUGUGAGCAACUUGACGGUACCUAAUCAGAAAGCAACGGCUAACUACGUG
rnacentral:rRNA from 1 species